UUUCAUCACCAAACCUCCUUUUCAGUGCCUGAUCUUGUCUGAUCUUGGAAGCUAAGCAAGGCCCGGUUAGUACUUGGAUGGGAGACAGCCAGGAAUACCAGAUGCCGCAGC
rnacentral:rRNA from 1 species